CCUACGGGAGACAGCAGUGGGGAAUAUUGCACAAUGGGGGAAAACCUGAUGCAGCGACGCCGCGUGAGUGAAGAAGUAUUUCGGUACGUAAAGCUCUAUCAGCAGGGAAGAAAAUGACGGUACCUGACUAAGAAGCCCCGGAUAACUACGUGCCAGCAGCCGCGGUAAUACGUAGGGGGCAAGCGUUAUCCGGAUUUACUGGGUGGAAAGGGAGCGUAGACGGCAGCGCAAGUCUGGAGUGAAAUCCCAUGGCUGAACCAUGGAACUGCUUUGGAAACUGUGCAUCUAGAGUGCAGGAGAGGUAAGCGGAAUGCCUAGUGGAGCGGUGAAAUGCGUAGAUAUUAGGAGGAACACCAGUGGCGAAGGCGGCUUACUGGACUGUAACUGACGUUGAGGCUCGAAGGCGUGGGGAGCAAACGGGAUUAGAUACCCCAGUAGUC
rnacentral:rRNA from 1 species